rnacentral:rRNA from 1 species
CCUUGCCAGCCCGCUCAAGAAACUUAAAUGAAUUGACGGGGCCCGCACAAGCGGUGGAGUAUGUGGUUUAAUUCGAUGCAACGCGAAGAACCUUACCUGGUCUUGACAUCCCGGAGACCCUUAGGAAACUAGGGGGUGCUUCCAUCUGGAAGAAUCUGGAGACAGGUGCUGCAUGGCUGUCGUCAGCUCGUGUCGUGAGAUGUUGGGUUAAGUCCCGCAACGAGCGCAACCCUUGCCUUUAGUUGCCAGCAGUUCGGCUGGGCACUCUAAAGGGACUGCCGGUGUUAAACCGGAGGAAGGUGGGGAUGACGUCAAGUCCUCAUGGCCUUUAUGACCAGGGCUACACACGUACUACAAUGGCCGAUACAAAGGGCAGCGACACUGCGAGGUGAAGCCAAUCCCGUAAAAUCGGUCUCAGUCCGGAUUGGAGUCUGCAACUCGACUCCAUGAAGUUGGAAUCGCUAGUAAUCGUGGAUCAGCAUGCCACGGUGAAUACGUUCCCGGGCCUU